rnacentral:rRNA from 1 species
UACGAAGGGGGCUAGCGUUGCUCGGAAUUAUUGGGCGUAAAGAGCUCGUAGGCGGUGUGUUACGUCGGCCGUGAAAACCUGCAGCUUAACUGUGGGCGUGCGGUCGAUACGGGCAUCACUGGAGUUCGGCAGGGGAGACUGGAAUUCCUGGUGUAGCGGUGAAAUGCGCAGAUAUCAGGAGGAACACCGGUGGCGAAGGCGGGUCUCUGGGCCGAUACUGACGCUGAGGAGCGAAAGCGUGGGGAGCAAACAGG